UCAAAAAUAAAGAAAGGAAGUGAAAGAAGGAAAUAUUGUGUUGGGAGUGUCACGUAAUUCAACAGAACCUUGCAAUGAAAAAAGGCCGCUGCACCUUAGGUGUAAUUGCAUGUCCAUUUUACAUCCAUUCUCCUGUGGUUUAUUUUCCAUUGUCAAGCAGGUAAACAGAACAAAGAGAUGUGGCACCUGCUGCUCUGAUAAAAAAAAAAGGGACUCUCCUGGGGAACAGGCGGCGCUGGCUGGUAUAAUCACAUCACAUCCGUAAACUGACACCGGUGUCCCUGUGAGAGAGAGCUGGAGGAUCACAUCAGAUCAUCUCUGUCCUCGGGAAAAGAAGACUCUGACCUCCAGACUACCACAGAUACACACUGGGUCAAAUACUGUAUUUUGACUCACAAAUACAUAUAUCACAUAUUUUGGGCAUCUUCAAAACACUCAACCCCCCUUCCCCUAAAAAAAAAAAUGCUGACAAAUGAUGCCAUUCAAUCAAAACUUAAGUAUUUCCCCUAUGCAAAUCUAUUUGAGGGUGCAAUUAAUGACCAUUUUCAUCAUCUAUUAUAAUAAUAGAAAAUAAUUAUGAUGGCCAUUGAAAUUCCUCACACUGCAAACUGACAUAGUACUGUAAUUGCUGACCAUACAGUUUACAACCCAAAGAUAUUCAGUUUACCAUCAUAAUAAACAAAGAAAGUAGCAAAUCUUCACAGUCGAGAAGCUGGAACCAUAUUAGGCAUUUUUGCUUUGCUUACUUGAUUAUCACGAUUGUUGCAGAUUUAUUUUCCCGUGGAACAAGUUUCAUAUCUAAACCUAGACUUGUUAGAUAUGUGAGAUAUUGCAAUAUCAUGCUGAGACUGAUCAAAUCUACAACUGGGUUUAAAAUCUACAUAUAAACUCAUGAAAAAAACUGAACUUAAUCUCUUAAUUAUCUAAAAUAUCACUCAUAAAAGGUGCUUUAAGACCACAUGUGUGAACACGCUGCUCAUCAUCAAGUAUAAAAGUGCAGCUGGAAUUAGUCCUGUUAACUGUCAGCAGAUUCUUUAAUUUUGCCCUCAAUGAUGUCAAACUCACAUCUGACAAGUUCUCUUUAUAUAGUUUGGAAAGAUUUUUUUUUUUCCCAAACAGCAUCUGGUUUAUGAACAGUAGACAGGACAGGGGGAAAAGUGCUGGAUACUAACUGGAAACUGUGAGGAAGCACCAGUCAAGAAUACCACACACAGUCACUUUAUAGCUAUUGUUUAUUAUAUCCUUUGGUCAAGCCAGACCAAGCAGUGACCCUUCCAACAGACAAAUAUAAACUCAACACAUGACCCACAGCUCUGUUUUAAAUUAGCCCCCUAGUUUAGUUUCUGCCCCUCUAUACAGGUGCUGUUGACUAAAAUGGAACAGGGCUCACAUCUUCCUCUGGCGCACAGUCUUUUUAACAGCCUGAAUCUGAUGUGCGCACGUUCGUACAAGUACUUAAUACAGUAAAUUAAGACUAAGACUGAACUGUUCAUUACUUGAGUGUGUCCAGGAGAAGCUAAUGAAUGUCGUUACUAGCUGCUUUAAAAUGCACAUAUUCCAGUUUGUUGUAUUCAUCAUUUUGAGAACAAUACAGAAAUCACAAGCACAACACUGAGGG